rnacentral:rRNA from 1 species
ACCCUACGGGACGCAGCAGUGGGGAAUAUUGCACAAUGGGCGAAAGCCUGAUGCAGCAACGCCGCGUGAAGGAAGAAGGGCUUCGGCUCGUAAACUUCUAUCAACAGGGACGAAAGAAAUGACGGUACCUGAAUAAGAAGCCCCGGCUAACUACGUGCCAGCAGCCGCGGUAAUACGGAGGAUGCGAGCGUUAUCCGGAUUUAUUGGGUUUAAAGGGUGCGUAGGCGGAAUGCCAAGUCAGCGGUAAAAUCGCGGGGCUCAACCUCGCUCCGCCGUUGAAACUGGCGUUCUUGAGUGGGCGAGAA